AUAAGUCAUUUUACGACCAAACUGCCAAUGGCUCAUUAAACCAGUUAUAGUUUCUUUGCUGGUCAAUCGUUAUACGGAUAACUGUGGUAAUUCUAGAGCUAAUACGUGCACAAAGACCCGACUUCCCGGAAGGGUUGCAUUCAUUAGAUACAGAACCAUCCCCUUCGGGGUUUUGGAUGAUCCAUAAUGAAUGAGCGGAGCGCAUGGCUUGUGUCGGCGCUGUAGCAUUCAAGUUUCUGACCUAUCAGCUUUCGACGGUAGGGUAUUGGCCUACCGUGGCAUUGACGGGUAACGGAGAAUUAGGGUUCGAUUCCGGAGAGGGAGCCCGAGAAACGGCUACCACAUCUAAGGAAGGCAGCAGGCGCGCAAAUUACCCAAUCCUGAUUUAGGGAGGUAGUGACAAGAAAUAACAGUGCUGUUCUCUUUGAGAAUAUGCAUCUGGAAUGAUUUGCAUGUAAAUAUCGCUUGGACUAUCAAUUGGAGGGCAAGUCUGGUGCCAGCAGCCGCGGUAAUUCCAGCUCCAUUAGUGUAUAUUAAAGUUGUUGCGGUUAAAAAGCUCGUAGUUGGAUUUCUGUUGGGUAUCGCGUGGUCUGCUCCUCGAGUACGUAUCUGCGUCGAUCCUGGCAUCCUCGCAACGCUCUGUGGCAUUAAUUUGCUGCUUGGCUUGCGACUUUUACUUUGAGGAAAUUAGAGUGUUCACGGCAGGCAUUUGCUUUGAAUAUAUUAGCAUGGAAUAAUAACAUAGGACUUCGGUUUUAUUUUGUUGGUUUCUAAGGCUGAAGUAAUGAUUAAUAGGGACAAUUGGGG
rnacentral:rRNA from 1 species